rnacentral:snRNA from 1 species
UCAUCUUUCAUCAUCAUUAUC